GAUGAACGCUGGCGGCGUGCCUAAUACAUGCAAGUCGAGCGAACGGACGAGAAGCUUGCUUCUCUGAUGUUAGCGGCGGACGGGUGAGUAACACGUGGAUAACCUACCUAUAAGACUGGGAUAACUUCGGGAAACCGGAGCUAAUACCGGAUAAUAUUUUGAACCGCAUGGUUCAAAAGUGAAAGACGGUCUUGCUGUCACUUAUAGAUGGAUCCGCGCUGCAUUAGCUAGUUGGUAAGGUAACGGCUUACCAAGGCAACGAUGCAUAGCCGACCUGAGAGGGUGAUCGGUCACACUGGAACUGAGACACGGUCCAGACUCCUACGGGAGGCAGCAGUAGGGAAUCUUCCGCAAUGGGCGAAAGCCUGACGGAGCAACGCCGCGUGAGUGAUGAAGGUCUUCGGAUCGUAAAACUCUGCUAUUAGGGAAGAACAUAUGUGUAAGUAACUGUGCACAUCUUGACGGUACCUAAUCAGAAAGCCACGGCUAACUACGUG
rnacentral:rRNA from 1 species